GUGAUGGGUUUACGAAAAUCGUCGUCAGCCUUAUAUAACGUUAUAAGUUGUUAUUUCUAAUCAUGUAUUUUAUCAAUAACAAUAUUGACUUUUACACAAAAAUUUAAUGUUGAAUUUGAAUCAAUAUUCAAUUAGAAAUACUUGAACUAAUUUUUACAUUUAUCUAGUUUUCUCUUUAUACUUGUUUAACGUAUUACCUUACAGUAACAUAUAUUAUUUAUAAUGAUGGCAAUUAUACUUGCUUCAUGGCGAUGGAAAAUACGCUAUUCAAACUGAAGAGCAAACGCAUUCUCUUUGAAAAUCGCUAAAAUAAAAUUUGAAGAAUUAUGUGUGAUCGGGGCAAGUGUCAAUUCAAAUCGCUGAAGCAACUAUUAAAUAUUUCAUGUCUGCCCAGAAUUAUUCCGAUAUCUUUUAUUUUUGUAAACAGGAGAGUGCCGACAACAGACACCACGCAGACGGACAGACGUAGCUAAAUCAACUCCGAAUUUAACGGUUAUCAAGAAUGUCUAUACCUUAUAGAGUCCUUCAAGCUUCCUUUUGGGUGUUACAUAUGCUUUGAAAAGGAACAAAAUGAAUAUACCCUCAUCUUACAAUGAUGUCAUCAUACAUUUGAUAACACAAUAUGCUUAGAUUACACAGCGGCCUUUUUCAUGCUUCUAAAGCAAAAGAUGGCCCUCAUCUGAACGAGCAAAUUCGCUAACUCGCGAUAAUUUCCUAUUAUUCCUUAUCUUUAGCUUUCAAUUAGCCCUCUCCAUUAAAUUUAUCCGUAGCAUGUCCUCAUUUUAGCCGAAUUUUGCAUCUUUAACUUAACAUUACUAUAUACACCUUCAACUUCCAAAUAAAAUUCUAUUCAAAUAAAUUUUUUCUGAUAUAAUUUUUGUGGAAU